rnacentral:lncRNA from 1 species
UCUUGUCUCAAUAAUUACAUUAACUAUAUAUUUUAUAGAAUUUCAACCUUUUUCGGCUCCUGGCCUUUUUCGUUCCAGACGAUUUCACACGCAAAUUAACGUUAUAAACCAUUAUAUAUAUAUUAACAUUUUAUCUAUCUUUUACAUAGAAAAAAAGGAAGAUAAUUUGUUGAAUGUUAAAAAUCUAUUCUGUGUGAUAAUUGAAUAAUGAAGCAAUUACUAAGAAGCAUUCUCGGUUUGUCAGGGCAAAUAUCAUUUAUUGUUUGUCUAUUAUUCCUAUUUUUCGUCUUCUUAUUCUCUAUCUCUAUUUUUAUUUUCCUUCUCUCUAACGUCUUUCCUAAUGAAUAGAAAUAAUUUCAGUUAUUUAAUCACGAGAAAUCACAAACACAAUGCUUCCAAAACUCAGAAGCAUUGAAAAUAACAUUUCUAUCGUCACGUUUCUGUCAAACACGGACUAACGUCCGUAAUACGUAGUUGGAUCGAAAUUUUAGAUAAAAAAAAAAUCUAUAUCACUCGAUAUAUAUUGCUCUUUACAAGUUUAUACUUAAAGAGCUUAGGAAUCUAUUUAUUCGUGGAGCGAUAUUUAAAAAAAAUCCAACACGAAUAAAAAACAUUCGAAUUGCUGCAUCGAUCCCAGCUCAAGAGUCGGCAUCACGUUUGGAGCGUUUAAGUUUCAUUAAUGAAACCCGAACGAGUCGCAAACAAUUGUAUCUUUAUUGUCGAAAAAGUGACAUCGUUGUUUCCACUCAAUUCCCCUGAUACGAAAAGGAGUGAAUCGAAAAGGAGAAAAGAGAUAAGAUAAGAAAUUCCUCCAUAGUUUACCUUAUAGUAUACCAUUUAUUUCGAUACCUUUCUCUCGUCUCGAGAGAGAAGAUAAUUUUUAAUUACGAGCAAUUGCGAAGUUGGGCGUCUGCGGCGUCACGUUUUGCCCCGCGUUUGUCAUUGCACUCCACCUGUUAUCGUCAAUUGCGCCGACGAACGUGCAAACUUGAGCGCGCGUUCACGCAACGGCGCACAAUCCCUCUUCUUUCUCUUUCUCCACGGCACGGUGAUAAUUAUCAACGUGAGAAACCCGCCUCCCCUCCCCCUCCCCCGCUACGUGGAAUGUUCCAUCCAUCCCGAACUUCCCUCGAUUUCGGGAGGAGGAGACGAAAUUUUCUUUUCGAGGCGAAGAAACGUGAAUUAUUAUCUUUUUUUUUUUUUUUCAAGCUUUCAAGAAGCUGUGACGUGAUUUCGCUUGUGACGUGAUUGUGCUUGGUGUUGGAUUGUCGAACGAUUUUACGAAUUUAAAACGAAACGGGGAAGAAAAUGUAUAAGAAACGGUUUUUUGGGGCGAGUCCAGGCUUGUUUGUACAACACAGGUGAUCAGCUCGGCGAGAAACAUUGGCAACGUUACGUGCGCCAUGUGAACCGCGUUCCUCGCAUUCGAACGAAAAAGCGUGUCUCUCGUUCGUGCAAUUAUAUCUGGCCCGAUGAAAUAUUUAAAAGUCGAGCUCCCAGAUUCGAUUUUAUUAUUAACGACGAGCGAGAUUGUCGCCCCUUUUCUUUCGAAUCGAGCGGAAACGAUACGAUACGACUGAAACAUCGAGGGAACUAAAAUAUCGAGUCAUACCGACGCGUAAACAAAGGGGCGAAAUUAUGAGACGGUUAUAACGGUCGCGUCCAACAAUAACAACGAGUUAAAACGAAGACGAAAAUAUAUUAUCCGACAAUUCUUGCUUAUCGAAUCGAGAAGAAAAGAAGAAAGAGAGAGAAGGAGAAAUCAGCCGCCCACCAACCUCCCUCCCCACAUUGCAAUUCCUUAAUGACGCGUAUUCAUACGAAAGCAGACUCACUGUCUCCGAGCGCAGACGGUGAUAAUUAUCACCGUGAGAAACGUCAUGUAUCACCUAAGGCGAGCCACCUUGCGAGAGAUGAUGCUGAUGUUGGGCUGAUGGCGGCGGCGGUUGGGCUGUUUUCAAAAGGGCCAUCCUCUUCCAUCCUCCAGCAAAGAUGGAGGAACGAGAGAGAGAGAGAGAGAGAGCGGUUGGAUCUGGACGGAGAGGAGGGCACGAGGAGGAAUUUGAUUUACGCAUCGGCUCGUUGAAGUGGAUGUAUUGUGCGAGAAAACAUUGUGACGCAUCGUGGGGGACGAGUGGGGGAUAAAGUCUUAAUUACCAACCGCGCGUGUAUCGAGGCUACGAUUUCGCGAAAAGUCACAGUCACGGAGGCGAGUGAGAAACAAUGAGGAAUUUUGAAACUGACGCGCGUUGAGUGUAAUAAUUUCGUGGGUUUGUGGAAGGAACGAUUCGAUCAAGUUGUAAAAUUUUAAGAGAUGAAUUAUAUAAAUAGCAUUCUCGUUGGAGAUAACGCUGCAUGAUUAUUCAAAGUAAAUGAAAGGUAAUUUUAAUUGUAAAAAAAAAAAAAAAAAA